rnacentral:lncRNA from 1 species
UUAUCAGCUGACAUCCUAUAUAAUUCAUGCACUUAUUAUAUUUGUUAUUUCUUUCCUUUUUCUUUUCUUAGAUACAAGCUGCACGGGGCCAGACUCUUUCUUUGGUUCAUUGACAUAACUCCAGUACUUACCUGGACCACUGCCUGAUGACAUGUGAUUGGAAACUGAAGUAUAGAAGGUCACUUGUCCAGUGCCACUCAAUGAUUCUAGGUCCAUCAAGAGGAACCAUUUUUCAUACAGUGAUGAUUGAACUUUCUCAAAGAAGAAAUAGAUUAGCUCCUAAGAACAGUCAUAAAGGACCCAGCGCAUGGCAACUACUGAGACAAGUAAGUACUUCUAAAAUCACAUCUAGUAUAAGGAUGUUUCUACUCACAAUAUCUAGAAUGUUUUAUUCUGCUUCUAUGGGUUUUGUACUCUGCAUAAGGCUGCAAUGGGCACAAGUCUGAGCAUCACAUUUCUCUUUACAGAUACAUGUAUGUCACAAUUAAAUCUUGAUUUUAAAAGUCUAUUUUUGGAAAAGAGUUUACUUAUCAGCCAAUGAACUUCCCCACUUUCCUAUCAUAAUCGAUACUGAUUGGUCAUAUAUUCAAUAGGAUAUCUAUCAUCUAUCUAUCUAUCAUCUAUCUAUUUACAGGGACAGAGACAGAGAGACUUAUUUAUUAGGAGAAACUGGCUCCAUGACUAUGGAGACUGAGAAGUCUCACAGUCUGCCACCUGCAAGCUGCAAGCCAAUAGUAUAGUUCCAGUCCAAGCAUGAAGGUCUAGUCCAAGGACAGGAGAAGACUGGUGUUCCAGCUCAACAGCCAGGCACAAAGAAUGAAUUCUCCCUUCCUCUGCCUUUUUGUUCUAUUCUGGCUUUCAGUAGAUUGGCUGAUACCCACCCACACUGGGGAAGAACAUAAGCUGCUUUGCUCAGACUAUUGAUUCAAAUGCUAGUGUCUUUGGGCAAUGCCCUCGCAAACACAUCCAGAAAUAAUGUUAAAUCAAAAAUCUGGGCACCCUGUGACCCAGUCAAAUUGACACAUAAA